GGGUUAGUAGGUUGGUCAUGCCUCUGGUAUGUACUGGUCUCACUGAUUCCUCCUUCCUGAUGAUCCGUAAUGCCAUUUAUUUGGUGUUGCGGGGAAUUUGGACUGUUACUUUGAAAAAAUUAGAGUGUUUAAAGCAGGCAAUCGCUUGAAUACAUUAGCAUGGAAUAAUGAAAUAGGACGUUCGAUCCUAUUUUGUUGGUUUCUAGGAUUGACGUA
rnacentral:rRNA from 1 species